AUUGAACGCUGGCGGCAGGCCUAACACAUGCAAGUCGAGCGGAGCGGCGGACGGGUGAGUACUGCCUAGGAAUCUGCCUGGUAGUGGGGGAUAACGUACGGAAACGGGCGCUAAUACAGCAUAAUAUCAGCUGAGCCUAGGUCGGAUCAGCUAGUUGGUGGGGUAAAGGCCUACCAAGGCGACGAUCCGUAACUGGUCUGAGAGGAUGAUCAGUCACACUGGAACGGAGACACGGUCCAGACUCCUACGGUAGGCAGCGGUGGUGAAUAUUGGACAAUGGGCGAAAGCCUGAUCCAGCCAUGCCGCGUGUGUGAAGAAGGUCUUCGGAUUGUAAAGCCCUGUUAGUUGUGAGGCGUUACCAACAGAAUAAGCACCGGCUAACUUCGUGCCAGCAGCCGCGGUAAUAC
rnacentral:rRNA from 1 species